GCCUUCAGCUGUCAACUAGCUGUACUACAUCGGCUUCACCUGUUCACUUCUUUCAUUCAUUGUUCACAUCUUUGCCCCACAGUUUCUCUGAGCACUGAGAUGAAACUCUGGCUUUCACCAGGGAAGGAUGUGGUUGGUUAAAAGUUGACACAGAAAGCUGUUGGUUUAUCAACUUUCUACAGACUACCUAGAUAACACUCAUUACUCACAAACACAACAACACACAGACUAACAGACUCCACAUAGGAGGAGGGCGUACUGGGGAGGAGGGCGUACUGGGGAGGAGGAGGUACUGGGGAGGAGGGCGUACUGGGGAGGAGGAGGUACUGGGGAGGAGGGCGUACUGGGGAGGAGGGCGUACUGGGGAGGAGGACGUACUGGGGAGGAGGGCGUACUGGGGAGGAGGGCGUACUGGGGAGGAGGACGUACUGGGGAGGAGGUGGUACUGGGGAGGAGGGCGUACUGGGGAGGAGGGCGUACUGGGGAGGAGGACGUACUGGAGAGGAGGACGUACUGGGGAGGAGGACGUACUGGAGAGGAGGACGUACUGGUGAGGAGGACGUACUGGUGAGGAGGACGUACUGGGAGGAAGACGUACUGGGGAGGAGGACGUACUGGGGAGGAGGACGUACUGGGGAGGAGGGUGUACUGGGGAGGAGGGCGUACUGGGGAGGAGGGCGUACUGGGAGGAAGACGUACUGGAGAGGAGGAGGUACUGGGAGGAAGACGUACUGGGGAGGAGGACGUACUGGGAGGAAGACGUACUGGGGAGGAGGACGUACUGGGGAGGAGGGUGUACUGGGGAGGAGGGUGUACUGGGGAGGAGGACGUACUGGGGAGGAGGAGGACGUACUGGAGAGGAGGACGUACUGGGGAGGAGGGCGUACUGGGAGGAAGACGUACUGGAGAGGAGGAGGUACUGGGGAGGAGGAGGACGUACUGGGGAGGAGGAGGACGUACUGGGGAGGAGGAGGACGUACUGGGGAGGAGGAGGACGUACUGGGGAGGAGGAGGACGUACUGGGGAGGAGGAG
rnacentral:lncRNA from 1 species